AAACUUUCAACAACGGAUCUCUUGGUUCUGGCAUCGAUGAAGAACGCAUCGAAAUGCGAUAAGUAAUGUGAAUUGCAGAAUUCAGUGAAUCAUCGAAUCUUUGAACGCACAUUGCGCCCGCCAGUAUUCUGGCGGGCAUGCCUGUCCGAGCGUCAUUU
rnacentral:rRNA from 1 species